ACAGAAGACCCUACAUAAUCUGACUCUCUGGGUCUUCAUCACCUACUGUUCUCUUUGCUAUUUCUUUCUAGGUGCUUUCCCAACUGCCAUGAAGGCUCUUUCCCAAGAUAUCUCCAUAUAUCUUCUCUCAUUUUACUCAAGUAAUUACUCAUCAGUGAAGCCUCCCCAGCCUCUUCAUUAAAAAUAGCCUUCCUUGUCCAACUGCCUGCCAGCUGGAACAACUCACUCUGGGGACAGUGCCAGGUGAGCAGUAGCAAACAGUAAUGCAGGUAUCCUCAAGCCAACUCAGGAGGGCAGAAACCUCCUGUGGAUAGAAAAACAAAAUCUCACUUGAUCUUGAUUUUUGGUAUGAAUAUAAACUAUGAGAACAGAGUCUCACAAUCAUAAUCUUUUGGGUUUUAAGUAGGAGUGUCAAAAAAGUUACUACAAGAAUAACUGGCUUGCUAGGGCCAAGGGUUCAUGGUGGUAUGGUUUUUAUUUUUUUCCUAGAUGUCAGUUCUUCCUAGCACUAUAAAGGAGAAUUCACAUUAUCUAAUGCCUAAUCUAGACAUUAGAUUAUGUGCCAACUAACAGGGAGCAUGAGCUGGGUUUAGACCAUUGUGAGAUAGGACUAAAUUUGGC
rnacentral:ncRNA from 1 species